rnacentral:rRNA from 1 species
UACGUAGGUGGCAAGCGUUGUCCGGAUUUACUGGGCGUAAAGGGCGUGCAGGCGGUCUGUUAAGUCUAGGGUGAAAGCUCCCGGCUCAACUUGGGAGAGGUCCUUGGAUACUGGCGGACUUGAGGGAGGCAGAGGGAAAGUGGAAUUCCCGGUGUAGUGGUGAUAUGCGUAGAUAUCGGGAGGAACACCAGUGGCGAAGGCGGCUUUCUGGGCCUUACCU